rnacentral:rRNA from 1 species
UCGGGAAUUUUGGGCAAUGGGGGAAACCCUGACGCAGCGACGCCGCGUGGGGGAUGAAGGUCUUCGGAUUGUAAACCCCUUUCGGCAGGGAAGAUGGAACGGGUAACCGUUCGGACGGUGCCUGCAGAAGCAGCCACGGCUAACUUCGUGCCAGCAGCCGCGGUAAUACGAAGGUGGCAAGCGUUGUUCGGAUUUACUGGGCGUACAGGGAGCGUAGGCGGUUGGGUAAGCCCUCCGUGAAAUCUCCGGGCCUAACCCGGAAAGUGCGGAGGGGACUGCUCGGCUAGAGGAUGGGAGAGGAGCGCGGAAUUCCCGGUGUAGCGGUGAAAUGCGUAGAGAUCGGGAGGAAGGCCGGUGGCGAAGGCGGCGCUCUGGAACAUAUCUGACGCUGAGGCUCGAAAGCGUGGGGAGCAAACAGGAUUAGAUACCCCUGUAGUCCCUGAGCGGGCUGGCAAGGCGCAU